UAUUUUACUAUAAUUUUAUUUAAUAUUUUUCAAAACAAUGUAUAAAUGAGAUUUACACCAGUUUAUUGCAUCCUGAUUAACAGUUUAAAUACUUAAAUCAACUGAUUAAAAUCAACAGCAGUUUCCAUAACAAAUCUGAACACACAUACAAAAACAAUUCAUAUGGCAACUUAUAAUAAAUUGUCUACAAAGACAAUCUUAACAAACAUAUGUGCAAAAACUGGGAAUUUUACGGAAAGAAAUCAAGAGUAUUUGUUAAAUCUAAGCUCAAAAGCAUGAACUUGUAUUACCGGUAGUCUUUUUUUUUUGCGAAAAAUUAUAACAUUAAUGCAAAAUAAAAAUAAAAAAAUCAGCUCUAAAAAAUUCAACAAUAUAAAGUCAUUUUGAACAAAGCACAAUAUAGUUGACAUAGAAUUAAUUGAUUAAUUUCAAAGAGUAAAUCUAAAGUCAAAUAUAAUUGUCCAUCACGAUCUUGUUGUGAGGUGUAAGUAUUAUGGUUUAUUGCCAUAGAUCUUCCAGCAAGUGAUUAGACAUGUUCUGAUAUCUUGAUAAGCUGAAUACCAACUAAUCCAUGAAAAUUUGAUUUUAUACAUCAAAUCCAUAUUAUUUUACUUUUCGAUAUGCAGUAUUUCUUUUUAACAUUUUGAUUACUAGUAAACACAUAGUGUCCCCAGACUUUCAUUUUGACAAUGACAUCAACAUUUAUGCAUGUCAUUGAUUAUUUUGAUGCUUUUAUAGUUAGUAUAUAUAUAUAGCUGAAGUACAUUACUUUUCAGGUCAAUAAUUUUUCUUUUUAUUUUAUAAUUU
rnacentral:lncRNA from 1 species